AAGGUACGGGAGGCAGCAGUGGGGAAUAUUGCGCAAUGGGGGCAACCCUGACGCAGCCAUGCCGCGUGUCUGAAGAAGGCCUUCGGGUUGUAAAGGACUUUUGUCAGGGAAGAAAAGGUUGUUGCUAAUAUCGACAGCUGAUGACGGUACCUGAAGAAUAAGCACCGGCUAACUACGUGCCAGCAGCCGCGGUAAUCCUU
rnacentral:rRNA from 1 species